GACAAACGCUGGCGGCGUGCUUAACACAUGCAAGUCGAACGGAAAGGCCCUGCUUGCAGGGUACUCGAGUGGCGAACGGGUGAGUAACACGUGGGUGAUCUGCCCUGCACUUCGGGAUAAGCCUGGGAAACUGGGUCUAAUACCGGAUAGGAGCCAUUUUUAGUGUGAUGGUUGGAAAGUUUUUUCGGUGUAGGAUGAGCUCGCGGCCUAUCAGCUUGUUGGUGGGGCAAUGGCCUACCAAGGCGGCGACGGGUAGCCGGCCUGAGAGGGUGGACGGCCACAUUGGGACUGAGAUACGGCCCAGACUCCUACGGGAGGCAGCAGUGGGGAAUAUUGCACAAUGGGCGCAAGCCUGAUGCAGCGACGCCGCAUGGGGGAUGACGGCCUUCGGGUUGUAAACUCCUUUCGCUAGGGACGAAGCUUUUUGUGACGGUACCUAGAUAAGAAGCACCGGCUAACUACGUG
rnacentral:rRNA from 1 species